rnacentral:rRNA from 1 species
AGAACGAACGCUGGCGGCAGGCUUAACACAUGCAAGUCGAGCGCGUGUAGCAAUACACGAGCGGCGCACGGGUGAGUAACGCGUGGAUAUCUGCCUUUUGGUUCGGAAUAACCCCGGGAAACUGGGGCUAAUACCGGAUGGUUCCUACGGGAUAAAGAUUUAUCGCCAAAAGAUGAGUCCGCGUCCGAUUAGCUAGUUGGUGAGGUAACGGCUCACCAAGGCGACGAUCGGUAGCUGGUCUGAGAGGACGAUCAGCCACACUGGGACUGAGACACGGCCCAGACUCCUACGGGAGGCAGCAGUGGGGAAUAUUGGACAAUGGGGGCAACCCUGAUCCAGCCAUGCCGCGUGAGUGAUGAAGGCCUUCGGGUUGUAAAGCUCUUUUGGCGGGACGAUGAUGACGGUACCGCAGAAUAAGCCCCGGCUAACUUCGUGCCAGCAGCCGC